AUUGAACGCUGGCGGCAGGCCUAACACAUGCAAGUCGAACGGGUGGCGGACGGGUGAGUAAUGUAUGGGAAUCUGCCUGAUGGAGGGGGAUAACUACUGGAAACGGUAGCUAAUACCGCAUACCAUCGGAUGUGCCCAUAUGGGAUUAGCUAGUAGGUGGGGUAAAGGCUCACCUAGGCGACGAUCCCUAGCUGGUCUGAGAGGAUGAUCAGCCAAACUGGAACUGAGACACGGGCCAGACUCCUACGGGAGGCAGCAGUGGGGAAUAUUGCACAAUGGGCGAAAGCCGGAUGCAGCCAUGCCGCGUGUAUGAAGAAGGCCUUAGGGUUGUAAAGGACUUUCAGCGGGGAGGCGUUACCCGCAGAAGAAGCACCGGCUAACUCCGUGCCAGCAGCCGCGGUAAUAC
rnacentral:rRNA from 1 species